GGGUCCCACCAUCGGAAGCUUGCUAAUGACAACCAGCCUCCGCGAAGUAAUACCUAACGGAGGUCCCGCGGGAAGAGUGGUAGCGGAAGUGUGUGGGGGGUAGAUUUUAGUAUGUAAGCGCCAUGGAUGACGAAUCGUGCAUGCUGCUACUAAGAACCAGCAGUAUCUUUUGAAGAUGUUCUACUUCCUGCCCGCU
rfam:Glossina pallidipes unplaced genomic scaffold Scaffold29, whole genome shotgun sequence.